UUAGAGUAUGAUUUCAUUUAAUAAUUUAAUUAGAAUUGUUUUAACACCAAUCAUAGUCAAACUAUCGCAAACUGUUUGACUUGAAAAAAUACAAAACAGAUGUUUUUUUAAAGAGCAGUCUGGGAACCAAAAGAGACGGCUCUUUUUGGUGAGCUGAGCCGAAAGAGCCGGUAUGCCCAUCACUACUAUCUGUCCAGUAGAAGUAAUGUAUUUGACAGUAACGUUAAUCCUGUUUCAAACGAGCAAAUUUCUCAAUUUUUUCAUUUGUUAUAGCUAAUUUCCCCCCAACAUCGGACACUCUCUAGCGGUUGGAGGACUAAAUAACCUUGAGCUCAACAUUUAAAUGAACGACACCUUUCUAGCUAACUGACCACCCAUUUUUAUUGCAAUUUAUAUAACAUCAAAUAAAAAACCAUGAACAAAGUCAAGAGGAAACAGUGAGUGAGGUGGACAUGUUCCAUGCAGUGGAGGACUGCUGGCAGGGAUGGCUAUCCGCCUGGCUGCCAAGGUGCAUGGCGUACCUCGGCAGACCCUGGCGGACAGGCUGAGAGGCCGGUUGACCCAUGGUUGUCGCAGUGGACCACCCACAUUGCUUGCACCAGAGGGUGAAAAUUCUCUGGUGCAGUACUGUAUCUACCAAAAAAAACAAAACAAACAUUUUCAUUCUGGUUGGAUAACUUUCUAUUCUAUUCAAAUUUUUGUGACAAGAUAGGGAUGGAGAUGGAGAUUUAAUUGUUUGGUUUGUUUUCAUAUAGAAUCAAAAAUAUAUAUUUAUUCAACACAUCUUCCUUUACUAUCCAAGUGCAUCUCCAACACAAACUCCAACAUUGUUUUAAUUGUUUGUCAAUGCACAUGACUGAAAUGAAAGUUUUAUUUUAUGUAAAUUAUUCAUACUCAUUUAUAUUUUAAUAUUAAACUGUUAUCUACUUUCUCAAAACAUAAGAUUCAUCUGUAAAACAAAUUAUGAGACAUUAUUUGGUUACAACACUGAAUAUGUUGGUGAAUCAGCAUUUUUUUUAAGAGUCCACAGGAGGGUGCACCGGGCUACGCAAUGAAAAGUUGACAGGCAAGUCAUUUUUUCUACAGGAAGGCUAGCCAACUAUCUAGUAAACACUUUGGAUACGAGGUUGGUGUCUCAUUUUUUAACAACAUUUUAACGGAUAUAUCUUGUAAUUGAACCAAAUAGUAAGGUGGCCAAUAACGGGACCAUAUGCCAAUAAUACGGAACUUAUGUUUUUUGAUAAGCCACUUAUCAAAAAGAUGA